rnacentral:tRNA from 1 species
AGCCACCGUAGCUUAAUAGGUAGAGCGUCAUUCAUGGUAAGGGUGAAGGAGCUGGUUCAACCCCAGCGGGUGGCUU